UACUAGACAUUGAUACUUCUAGUUUCCUUCUCCCCCUCCCCCCUCUUAUAAUUUGCUCUCAUCGCGAUACGCGAAACGCAAUAUUACUUACAAAAACAAACAGAAUAUUUUUUCAACAUACUUUCUCACCGCACGUAACGUAAUUUUUCCGCAAUCCCAAACCAAAUCUAAAUGCUAUUUGUAAAUCUCAUAUCUUAUACUCAACCUAUCUAAUAAGUGAGAAUAUUUU
rnacentral:lncRNA from 1 species